rnacentral:rRNA from 1 species
UACAGAGGCCUCAAGCGUUACCCGGAAUUACUGGGCGUAAAGCGUGUCUCGGUGGUCGUGUUAGUCUUUUGUUAAAGCCUGGGGCUUAACCCCAGAUCUGCAAAGGAAACGGCACAACUUGAGAGUGGGAGAGGUGUACGGAACUCUAGGUGUAGGGGUGAAAUCCGUUGAUAUCUAGGGGAACACCAAAGGCGAAGGCAGUACACUGGCCCAUUUCUGACACUUGCACACGAAAGCGUGGGGAUCAAACGGG